GGGGAAUCUUCCGCAAUGGGCGAAAGCCUGACGGAGCAAGACCGCGUGAGGGAUGAAGGCCUUUGGGUUGUAAACCUCUUUUCUCAGGGAAGAACACAAUGACGGUACCUGAGGAAUAAGCCUCGGCUAACUCCGUGCCAGCAGCCGCGGUAAGACGGAGGAGGCAAGCGUUAUCCGGAAUUAUUGGGCGUAAAGCGUCCGCAGGUGGCUUUCCAAGUCUGCCGUCAAAGCCCGAGGCUUAACCUCGGAUCGGCGGUGGAAACUGGAUCGCUAGAGUGCGUCAGGGGUAGGGGGAAUUCCCGGUGUAGCGGUGAAGUGCGUAGAUAUCGGGAAGAACACCAGUGACGAAAGUGCCCUACUGGGACGCUACUGACACUCAUGGACGAAAGCWAGGGGAGCGAAAGGGAUUAGAUACCCCAGUAGUC
rnacentral:rRNA from 1 species